GAAACUUUUAAAACAAACCUGAAUGGUUUAAAAAAAAAAAAAAAAUCUGUUCUUAUCAGUUUAAUAUCUGAUACGCCCCCUAUCUGGGGGCCAUAUAUUAAAUGGAUUUUUAGAACAGGGAGAUGGAAGAAGAGCUUGCUCUGUCCACUCCACGCAUUGACCCGGUAUUGCAGUACCUCCGGGACCGGUGCACCUUUC